CGCCUAUAGCCUCUCUUUAGCCAAUCAGAAGCGGAGACAGAAAAGGGCGGCUUUCAAACCCCGCCCCAGCCUAUAAGUGGAGCUAUUGCGGAGCCCGCCUUCUUUCUCCAUCCAAUAGGCGAGGGAGAAAGGUUCCGACGUUACUACCCCCUUCGCUUCCCUUGUCACGGACGUAGAAGGAAGGCUGCCUGGUAGUACCCUGCGGUUACCCUCUGCGGCGGAAAAGCGCGGCUGGAGGCGGGAAUGGCUCGUCCGACGGUAGCGAAGCACGCAUGGUGGGCCGCCACGAGGGUGUGCGUAGUGGGCCGCCUGGGUCCGGGUGGGCGGUACUCGGCGGGUUCGCCCCAUAGCAGCUCUCAUCCUCUGGAGCUGAACGUCUUCAGCGUUCUUCAUAUGGGCUGUGCUUCUGAAUGAGAGCGUCUCCUACAGCCUCUGCAUGUUCUGUGUCACUGUAGAGGAGUUCCAGCUGCUCACUGGUGAGGUUGGUCCUGAAUGAAUUAAUAAAGCUUUACUUGAUCUGAGACUGACCUACUUAAGUGACGUUUACCCCAACUGCGAUGGUGACAGCCCAAUUUCUAGUGCUCUGUGUUUUAAUUUUUUAGAAGAGGUGGGAUAACGGCCUUGUGUGUCUUUUAGUAAGAAGGAAAUGCAGGUUCUAAUGACUGUAAGCGUGCUAAAGAAGUCCCUGGUUUGGGAGGAGACUUUUGUGUGACAUACUUGUUGAGCAGAGAAGAACUGGGCAGGAGCAUUGCAUGUGUCCUGGAAAGCUGAUUGAUUGAGUCUGACAGCUUGUACCAUACUGCUGAUUCUACCGGGAGCGUGGCACAGGCAUCUGCAUAAGCUGCGUGAAAUUUAUUUACACGCACAGUUAGCUAUUAACUGUGUUGUCUGUGUAUCUGUCAGUUUUCUGUGUCCAAACUAAGGACUCUACUGCUGAUAUUUGAGAAAAAAUUAAAAAAAAAAAAAAAAUCAAACAGAGCUCUUAAUUGUUUCCCACCAACUUUCACUUUUCCACAGGUAACAUCUUCCUUUUCCUAAUUCCUUUUCAACUGUUGGUCAUGGCCUUCCCUCCUUAGUCUGGGUAUUUAAGCAGUAUCUGAAUUUUGUUGAUUUCUUUCCAGCCGCACUUUAUGUUCCCAACUAAGCUCUCAAAAUGCAGUUUUUUCCCUUAUUGAGUUUGACAACCAUUCCUACACUUCUCUAAGUUCCACUGAAAUUGUUCAGGAAAGACAUCCCUUCUCCUGUGUUGCUCUGUUGUCUGAAAGACCGAGGUUGACUGGGACCCUUGGAGGUUACCUGAUCACUCUACUGAGGCAAGGGCCACCAAGAGUGGGUACACUAGGUAUCCAAGUGGCUUUUGAAGAUCUCCAAAAUGGAGACCCCACUGUAUCUCUGCCUGUGCUCCAUCACUCCCACAUCUCAGAAGUGCUUUCCAGUGUUCAGAGGGAACCUCUUGUGCUCCAGUUUGUGCCAGUUCCCUCUGAUCAUGGCACUGGGCACCAUUGAGAAGAGUCUGGCUCCAUUUUCUCUGUACCUUCUUCUCAGGUGUUUAUAUACAGUAAUGAGAUCCUUCUGAGCCUUUUCUUUACUAGCCUGAACAGUCCCAGCUCUCUGACUCUCUCAUCAUGUGUGAGAUGCUUCUUAGUCAUAGUGCUCAGUGGUCCUUUGCUGGACUCUCUUCACUAGCUCAAUUUCUCUCUUGUUACUGACGCUGUUGAGAAGCUGACUGUUGGGGAUGUUGAGAGAUGGCAGCUCUCAGUGCCUGCCUGUUUCUCAAGCAUGUUUGUACUGGGUGUUGAAUAUAGAAAAAGAUUUCUGUAAGUGUCCCAAAGCUCACAAGACUUUUUUUUUUUCAAACCUGUGCUGUACAUCUAUUGAAAACUGACUCUAAAAACUGAGCUAACAUUGUAAUAGGCAUUUGAACAAGGAACUCUGGGCUAGUGGUGUGUUUAAGUAUCAGAAGAAUAAACAAAUAGUAUCCUUUAACCAGGGAUGUCACAAAAUCAGCAGACCAUGAGAAAGAUGUUAAUCAGGAUGGUUUGAGGAUGUUGCCAACUUGGCAAGAAAACUCAAGGUCUGUGUAUGCUCAGCUGAACUACCUUCAUUAUAAUGUUAAAAGUCACACUCAUAGAUUGAAAAGACCCCUGCCCAGGUGCAUGCAUAGUAGAGGAAGUAUACAGUCAACAAUAUUAUUAUUAUAUAAAAAUUACUAACCAGUCAUCACAAAGAGGAUGGGCUGGAAAAAUUAUUAGCUUUGCGAGUUUUGUGUAUAACUGUAGUGGUGGUAGUUCUGUUUGGUGUGUUUGAUUUGUGGGAAACCAUCCAGCAUCUAGACUUGCACAAAUCUGGAAUAAAUAAAGAAUGUCUCUCCUGAAUAUGUGAUUACUGACCUCGCACAUCAGGCUGUUAAUCUGUUUUUUGAACAACACCUCUACUUCCCUUUUGACAGCACUAGGGCUUCUGUCCCAGUGGUCUUUUUAGUCUUGUACUGUACCUAUCCAUCUGCUUCUGUCUUGAGAGGGAGCACUUCAGACCUGCACACUCUCACAAUUACUGCUGCAAUGCAAUUAAGGCCUGUUGCAUUUGCAAGCAAUGAGCAUGAAUUUUGCUAGUAAUAAUCUCUUCCACUCAUGCUGUUUUUAAGAUAGCCCUUGUCAGCAUAAGAAAUGUUCUAUCUCCAACACUCCCCAUAUUGGUAUAAAUUGAGUUAUUUUGCACAGCUUUCCAACUUUACGUUUUUUGUCUUCUGAAUGUAGCCUCAAGUUUCCUGUUUCACAGGCACUCAGCAGCCUGAUUGCAACAUCUUGUCAUGCACUCUUUGCUUUGCUGUGUGGGAAAGCAGAUUGGAGACUUCUUCAGCAGAAGCAAGUAUGGAAAUAAUCUUUAUUGUCAAAUUCUCCCCUACUACUUCUCAAAAAGACAAAACUAGACAGGAAAGGAGAGGUAAGGAAGCUGGGUUUUCCUUCUAGCAAAAGUGAGAUCUAAUGAAAACAUUAAAGCGGAUGAGUCAGUGACCUGGUGAAUGUUCCCCUCCCUCCCUUCCUACUUUCACUACUCCUCUCCCUUCAUUCUGCACUCUGUCAAGCCCUUUUCAGUGUCUACUAUUGAGCAUUUAAUCCCCUUUCUUCAGAAGAGGCUUGCACUUUUCAAGUUGUCAGCAGCAGUAAGAAAUUGUCAUCAAUAACUCUUCGAAUGGCAGAUGAGAUGUGAGUAAGUAAUAAAUUAGAGGCAUUUACUAAUUAGAAAUCAGAGACAGAAGAGGUCUAUGAGAUCGUCUAGUCUUUCUCUGUUGUGUGUCUGUGUAAUUCUUCUGAUAAGCUUCUUCCUGCGUUGUCUCUCUUCUAGUUUUACAUACUUCCCAAUAAGCAAUUUUCCAGCUUGAAACAGUCCUGUAGGAUAGUUUAUUAUCAGGAAGAUUUUGUUAGUGCUUUCCUUACAUUUCUGCUCCAUUCUCUCUGUUUAGGCCUAGCAAAUGUCACACUGAACAAUUUCUCUUAGUUGAGAAAUCUCACCUUGGAAGAGUGAGAUAUUUUGCAUUGAUGGUCAUUUUUUUAUAAACGUUUCCUUCUCCUGAGCUGAUUGCUUUUCCUGUAAAUGUUUAUGUGUUUAAGCAAACUACUAGCUGACCUUAGCUAUUUUUUCAGAGCUGUUACAGCAAAGAGGACUCUUUGGGAUAGUAGAUGUCUGUGCCCUGCUCAGAAUAUUUGUGGUUGUAAUAAUAUGUGGUUGGCACAGAACCCCCAGAGUUUGUAUCCAACAAUCUCACUCCAUUGACUUGGGAGGCAAUCUUGUGUUUGCAGAUGCUUUCAUCAGAAAACACAUCUUCAAAUGCAUCAGAAAAUGCAGGGGCAUCAUUUAAUUCUCCACUGUUUGUGUUCAUCCCAAUCCUGCUAUUCCCAUCCCUGCUGAGAUGGGAAUUUCAGGAUGCUGCGUUGGGAUGUUUGCAGUUUUCCUUUUAAUACUCCUCCUAUCCAAAUUGCUUAGGCAUUUUUUUGUGUGUGUGUGUGUGUUAAAAUCAAAAGCCUGAAAGAGCUGAUAUUUUAACAGAAUUUCUAUGCCUAUUAUUUAUUUCUCAGCUCUCUUCUGCAUGCAGGAAAUCCCUAAGGAGAGCAGUUUAAGUAACUUUCUUUAGAAGACCUUUGUUUUCAAAACAUGCUCCACUCCUCCAUCUCCCUGCCCCUAUCACUUUUGAGAGAUGUGCUCUCAGGUUUUUAUUUCUGUUUUCAAAUGCACUAAAUCAUCUCUGUGACCAGUAUCAUAGGUGUAUCACAGGUACAUAGAUCAGUCCUUUGGUCAACCAGCUGGUAUUUUCUCACAUGGGCUCUCCAAAAAUGAGUAGCUAUACUAGCUGUGUCCUUUCUGGCUGUUGGAAAGCCUGAAAUAUUCUACACUACACCAAAAUACAAGUCCUGUGGUCACUUAAAACAGUGUUAGACUGUGUGACAUGCUUGUAGUAACAGCGAGUUACCAGGUUUGUGCCAUAUGACGGGGUUCUUGUUUCUCCCAUCCUCUACUCUCCCUGGUUUCACAUAGAUACAUUGCCCCCAUACUGACACAGGUACCAGCUGAGGGAAUUUAUCUGGGACAGUGCAAUGACAUUCUUAGGAUGGUCCUAGAAGACUUGAAUUAUAAAAUGCUAGCAACUUUCAGUUUUUUAACCAAAUCUAAACUCCCCGACCUAAAUAUAGUGGGUUAUAAUGCUUGCAGAUGAAUGCUGUUAUAUCACAGUAAUCAUAUCUGAGCUCUGAUAGAACUAAAUGGGAUAUAUAUGUAUAUAUAUAUAUAUUUUUUUUUUGUACUAGCAAGCUAUAAUAUUGGAUAUUUACAUUAAAUAUCCACCAGGAAACCUCUCCUUAUGCUUUGGGAAUCUGUUCUACAGUUCCCCAAAUGACAAUGUGCAAAUAUGUCUAGGUGCUCCACUCAGAUACCCUUCCUCUUUUCAAGCUCAUCUCAUAGGUACUUUGCUCUCAGUUUUCUACAAGGGCUUCUUCAUAUGGUACUCCCAACGGCUGAGAACCAAGAAGAAACUCGUGAACCUGUCUUAGGAAGAGGGAAUGCAAGUAAUAAUAGUCUUGAUUUAAGAAUUUUUUUAUUUCACUUCCCUGAGUUGAUCAUUGCAGCUCAAGCGAGGCUCAAAUUAAGGUUGAACACUUCAGUAUAAAUUUGCCUCCUUCACUUUCUUUUUUUUCCUCCACAAAAUUAUUUAAUGGUAUAGUUUUUUUUGUUUUGUUUUAAAAACUGAAGAGAACUCUCCCACUGCUCUGGUUUGUAGAGGUGCUCUGAGAUUUUUAGUGCUAAUCUGCUGAAUAAGUUUUUUUUCUUUUUUUCUGUAGUUGCUUUGAAACAAUAGAGAGUGAACUGCUCUACUUCUUGCCAGUAGGUACCAGCUCAGAUGGCAUUUAAGAAUUAACUGUUUUACUGACAUUCCUAUAGCCUUCUCCUGGGAGCAGUUUCCCCUAAAAGCAGGAGCCUGAAGAAUGCAAGAGAUGCCUACUUUCAGAGGCAACAGGAGAAUAAAAACACAGUUAUAAAAUUGCCCAGAGAAGUUGUAAAGUUUCUCUUCUUGGAGGUCUUCAAAAGCUGCCUGGGUUUGGUCCUAGGAAAACUGCUUUGGAUGUCCCUGCUUGAGCAAGGUUUGGACCAGAUGGACUCACACCUUUACCUGUCUUGGAUUCUGUGAUCUGCAGAGAACCUCUACACCGCCUUUAAGUACAGUUGAUUCUAUUCACUUGAGGCUUAAUUUGAUUAUUUGAUUGAUUAAAAGUAUGUCACCAGAGAUGCAAAGGUGACUUUACAAGAGCAAGCAGACACAGAGAACAGCUACAGAGUUCAAGUUCUUCGGUUCUCCCACUGUUCUCCCAUGUGCAAAGAGAAGCGCCUGAGAUUUCAUGAGUUCUACUGGAGACUUUGCACUUCCAAGAGGAUCUGCUCCAUGAUCUUCCCAAGCACAGAGCACCCUAGGAUGGAUAUCGUCUGCCCCCAUGGACUUACAAACAUUCAGUUUCAUGAGGUUUUGGACGUGUUCCACUGUUACAGUGGGAUGGAAUCCUCUCCCCACACCUUCACCUAAAGGUUCAGGACCCUGGCAGACAUGGGAAACCUGACCACCAGCGAAGACUGAGGCAAAGCAGUCAUUGAGUAGCUCAGCUUUUUCUAUGUCUGAGGAAGCCAGCUCUCCAUUGCCUUUAAUCAGAGGCGGGAUUUGCUUUUAGACUGGGAAAUGUUACUUCAGUGGAAGAGUGUUUUCAAGCAAUAAACUACACUGCACAACAGCAUAACCUCACUAACACAGACAUGUAUUAUAAUCAUACAAGCAGUGCUUCCUUUAAUCACAUCUGCAUGAUUCUCCCUUGGGGAUGGUUCUUUCUUUGUGGAACAGAGUAACAUAUUCAUACUUAUCUGUAAAUACCACUGCUACAUAUCAAUGAAGGGGAAGAAGCUGAAUUUUUUUUUUAGAUGAAGUCUGUGAAAUGUAGAAUGCACUGGAACAAAAAAAUUGCUAAGGAAAUAAAAGCACUAUACUUAUUAUAUAGGAAAGGUGUGUAGCAUAACAUAGAAGGGAAACAUUGUAAGUAGCUCAGAGAGAUAGAUGAUUUCGGUCCUGUAACAGAACAAACAUGGAGGACGGCUCCAAGGACUGCCUUUUAAGGCAGAUAGUAAGACCCAGUAAUUGUGGAAGUGCCAAUCAUGGAAAGGAUUGGCAGGAGCAUAUAGAGAGGAUCCAGAUGAGGGAGCUUAGGUAAUGGUAGCUAUUAUUAGGAUUCAGUAUCCAGACUGGAAUGAUUUACUUUGUUGACAUAUCAGAAAAGAAAUUUUGGCAAAUGCGAAGGAAGAAGCAGAAAGAACCCCUGCUCACUGAGACAGCUGUAAACAUACCACACUAAGAACCAUAGCUCUUCCCUCCCAUAAUCAUACCUAAUGGUAAUCAUGUUGAAAUGCCUUUGUGUGAGGGACUGACUGUAAUGAUAAUGUUAACCACUUGUAGUGUGUGAAAGCAGCAGUACUUGCAACCUCACUAAUAGAUGUACUUGUGAUGAGCACCUGUAACCACAAACAGCUCAGCACUUUGGCGUGUGUGCUUGCCAAAACCAUUAAUAUUACUUCGCAAGCUAGUGGUUCCGUUGAGCAUUGCCUGUUAGUAGCACAAGAACUUAGUUGAUUAGUUUCUGCAUGGAAAAGUUACCUGUGCAUUUAGCAACUCAGAUGACUCCUUACAAGCUGUGAAGGAGCAUAAACCUUCAAAUCUGAAGAACGUGGGGUUACUGGUGGAUGGGGGAAGCUAAAUCUAAGCCAGCAAUGUGCCCCCACUUUGCCCAGGAAGCCAACAAUAUCCUGGGCUGCAUCAAAAGAAGCGUGGCCAGUAGGUUGAGGGAGGUGAUCCUCCUCCUGUAUUCACCAUGUGCUGGUGAGGCCUCAUCUGGAGUACUGCAUCCAGAUGUGGAGUCCUCAGGAGAGACAUAGACCCAUCGGAGCAUGUGCAGAGGAGCAUCACCAAAAUGAACCAAAGGAUGGAAUGCCUCUCCUACAAGGUCAGGCUGAAAGACCUGAGGCUGUCAGUGUCUAAAGGGGAGCUAUAGGAAAGAAGGGGGCUGACUCUUUAGUAGGGUCUGUGGUGAUAGGACAAGGGGAAAUGGUUUCAAACUUAGAAGAAGAAGAAAGAAGAAGGGCAAAUCCUCAGAACGUCACAGAAUCCACAGUGGUGACUUACUUUUCUCUCAUUUUUUCUCUCCUUUUCUUCUCUUUUUCCUUGCUUACUCAUCUUUUAAUAAAUAAAGGUACAUUUUUGAUCGAUCAACAUCUUGACUUGAUUCCGAGUCUUAAUUCAGAAACUUUGGGAUUAACGGAACAAACUGCAAGCCACUUCAGCUUGCAAAAGCCAGCAUGAGUGCAUGUGACUCAUAUACAGAGGUUUGGAAAUUGCAUGGAGUGUCAGAAGUCCUGUGUUCAUGUAUUUGUGUUUUUAGAUGUUUAUCUUGACUUGUAAUUUCUUCAUUCCAUCUAUCCAGAAGAACUGUUUUUCAGUAGGUUCUUGCUUGCAAGUGCUCUUCUGUUGAUUAAUAGUAGAGAAAUCUGGUAUUUUUACAGGUGACUUCCACCACACUGUCCUGAGCAAUGAAUAGUCUACAGAGGGAGCUGUUACUUCUUUUCCAAAAGGAGCAGGAUUUGCAUUCCAGCCAGGAAUCGUGCUGAGCACAGGGAGCUCAUCUCUUGUAAUGGUUUUUAUGUUCUUUGAGGAUCUUGUGUUACCUUGCAGUUACUUGGCCUAGUGGCUGGCAACCCUGCUUAUGGCAGGGGGGUUGGUACUUGAUGAUCUUUGAGGUUUCUUCCAGCCCUAGCUGUUCUGUGAUUCUAUGAUUUAUGACUGCAACAUUGUAUUGCACCUACAGUUUCCCAGUGGUCAAAUGAGCAGAAGGGAGAAUGCAAGUCAAAGAAAUACAAUUACUUGCAUUAUUAUUAUUGAGUUAGCCAAGAACGCGUUUCCCUCUACACCUUUGGAGUUUUGUACUGCAAAGAGAGGAAACAGUGGACAAAUACCUGCUGCUAGGAGAUUUCAGGUGAAAUAGAAUAGACAUGGUAAGACAGGGUAGCAUAGAAAAAGCAAAUCACAAAUUUUGGGACAACAGGCAACUGGAAAACUUUUUUUCACCCAGAGAUUUUGUUCUGAUAAGGAAAGAGAAAUUUUACUAAUUUCCAGAUUAUUAUAUUUCUCCUGACACAAGUGUACUUGUGUCAGACUCCAAUAUCAGUUUAUCCCUUAGUCUGGGAUUGCAGUUUAUGUAUAGUCAGAGCAGUUACUUGCAGUUGCAAGUGUGGAGGACUGGUAGAAAUGAAGAGAUAAUAAAAGCAAAGAACCACAGCAUGGUGCUUGGGAGGAAGAUCUGGAGAGAAAGUAAUUGACUCAAGUACUGGAGGUUUCAUCUGAAAAUAUUAGAUCAAGGGUUCAGUAGGUUGACGGCAAAUAAGUUGGUAGUGAUUGUUGAUGGGAUUGUUACUGCUGUGCCGCAUGUAAAUAAGCACUACAAAAAACUUUGAUAUACAGAAAAUGGAAACAAGAUCUUGCUUCCAAAAAGAAAGUUACUGUGUCCAUGCAAUAAUUUUAUUUUAAAAUAAUUGAAAUUGUUUUUGUAUCACCUGGUUGAAAGAAGCAGCUUAAUGCAGUUUUAAGGAAUCCAGUUGCAGUUUCAACACAGCAGGAAAUCUCUGAUGUCGUUUACAGAAUGACUUCAAUUACAUAUUUCUGAGUAUGUGAGGCUUGACAUUCAUAGAGGAUGAUAUAUAUGGAGAAUUAAGGGCAAAUUAACAUGAAAAUAUAGACCUUGGUAUACCCAGGUAAGGGGAUGUCUGCCAAGACACGUAUAGAGUUCACAGAGAAAAGGGAAUUAAGUUGGGAUUGUUCCCAACAAGAGUAGGUCUGCUUUUCAGUAAGCACACCUGUAACAGUCAGACCUAGUGAAAAUGGAGGAAAACAAUAGUAUUUUAAGUAGUGUAGUAGAGCGUAAAAACCUGGAGUUUUCAUCUUGGAUUUUCCAGGUUACUUUGGGUGAGUGAUUUUGUCAAUACUAGAGACUGUUCAACUAUCAAAAGAAGAUCCUGUUAGUAGCUCAGAAAGUUGAAAAGACUUAAGAAAUAAUGCCAAACACUUUGCCUGCAUUGUCAAAAUGUUAGUAGCCUUUUCAGAAGAAAAUCUAACAGUUUACCAGAGAACCCUGGUAAAGAAUUAGCAGAUUUUGGUAUUAGAGUAGGCGAAGUUAGCAUGCCUCUGAGCUUGCCUAGUUUACCAUGUGAAGAAUGCAAGAGCUUCGCCUUCCCUAGGAUUUUGCAGUGCAGUGCAUGCUAGACUGUUUUAUUUACCAGCUCUUCAAACAUAACCUCUCAAUCUUAUCCCAGAUAAAUGGCUAGGAAAUGUAAAACAAGUAAAUGCAUCAGGUUGCUUCAAAAGUGGACCAUUCUUCUAAAGGAAGGGAUUUUCUGUUGUUCCCUUAUGAGGAAGAUGCUCCAUUCCCUUUAUCAUCUUUGUGGCUCUGCACCUCUCUCAAGCAGUUCCCUGUCCUUCUUGGACUGAGGGGCCAAGAACUGGACACAAUAUUGCAGAUGAGAUCUCACCAAGGCAGGGUAUAGAGGGAGGAGAACCGCUUUCAACCUACACACCCCUCCUAAUACACUGGAGGAUGGCAUUGGCCUUCUUUGCCACAAGGGCACAGAACUGACUCACGGUCAUGCCCAGGUCUCUUUCCCCUUUGCUACUCUCCAGCAGGUCAGUCCCCAACCUAUACUGUAGGCUGACCUCUUCCACUUGAGUUUGCCCAGCAGUUCUCUGUUUAACCACACAGGUCUCCUGGCUCCCCUUUUUGACUUCCUACCUGUUGGGACGCUCUGAUCUUGAGCAUGAAAGAAGCACUCCUUGAAUGCUAGCCAACUAUAUUGGGCCCCUUUACCUUCAAGUACCCCGUUCCAUGGGAUUUUCCCUAGCAAUUGAUUGAAAAGGCCAUAGUUGGCCUACUGAAGUCCAGGGUUGUGAUUCUGCUUGGUAUUCUGUUCCUGCCACAUGAAAUCCUGAACUCCACCAUCUCAUGGUCACUGCAAUGAAGGCUGCCCUCAACCUUCACUGCUUCAGCCAGAUCCCCCUUGUUAGAGAAGUUGUCCUCGAUACUGUUAAUUCCAGGGUCGUGGGUUUGAGCCCUACAUUGAGUGCCAAAAUAGUGUUGGAGUUUGAAGAGUUAAUCAUGUGACACCCUUCCCUCCCCACUGAAGAGAAAGAAAGAGGGAAAAUCCUGACUGAAAUAGGAGAAUCUAAUUUUUGAGGCCUCUGUAGAUCAACAAGGAACUCCUGGACUUACUUAAGCAUAAAAAGAAAGUCUGGAGGGAGUUGAAAGCAGGAAGGGAAUGGGUUACCUGGGAGGCAGACUUACAAAGAAGUUGUCUGAGCAACCAGGGAUCAAGUUAGGAAAGCUAAAACCCAGAUAAAGUUAAAGCUAGCCAGGGAUGUAAAGGGCGAACAAGAAGAAACUCUACAGAUAUAUCAGUGAUAAAAUGAAGGCCAGGGAAGAUAUUGGUCUUCUCUGUAAGGAAACUGGAGCCCUGGUCACGAGGGAUAUGGAGAAAGAAAGCUGAAGUGCUCCAUGACUUCUUUGCCUCAGUCUUCACAAGCAAGGUCUAUAGCUACAUUGUCCAAGAUGCAAAAAGCAAAGAUAAGAACUUGGAGAAGGAAGAUCUGCCUGCUCUAAAUGAAGAUCUGAUGUUUGAGACCAUCUAAUGAAGGUGCACAAAUCCAUGGGACCAGAUUCCUGUCAGCCGGAACUGGAAAUCAUGUGGAGGCUCCUGGGAAGUGCAGUACACCCCCAUGUAUCUUCCCCUUGGAAGAUAAAGAUCCCAUUGGAUCGUCAGAACUCAUGUGAGUCUGCUGAACAGGAAGCACAGCUCUACAGUAUGCUGUAUCUCUAUACCAAACAGCCUGUCACAUGAUGUUAUGAUAUGGAAUACUGAUAAAACCAGGACAAUAUCUAAAAUAAACGACAAAAUGCAGUUGCUCACUACUCAGCAACUGAUACCCAGCCAGCCCAAGCAAUAGCCAUCCCGCCCUGGCCAACUCCAUCAGCUUUACUGUUCAACAUGAUGCCACACAGUACAGAAUAUCCCUUUGUUCAGUCCUGGUCAGCUGUCCUGGCUGUGUCACCUCCCAGCUUCUUGUCCAGCCCCAGCCUAUUCACUGGCAGGGUAGCAUGAGAAUCUAACAAGCCCUUGACUUAGUGUAAGCAUUGUUCAACAACUACUGAAAUGCCGUUGUAUUAUCAGCAUUGUUUUUUGCCUAAAUCAAAAACAUGGCAUCAUACCAGUCACUCUGAACAAAAUUAACUCUAUUCCAGCUGAAAACAGGACAAGGAGUUUUCAUACAAUCAUAGAAAUACUUGGGUUAGAAAGGACCUCAAAGAUCAUCUAGUUCCAACCCCCCUGCCACAGGCAGAAUUGCCAAUUGCUAGAUCAGAUUGCAUGGCCUUGAACACCUCCACGGUGUUUCCUUGAGGACCUCAGAGAUAACCUUUUAAAAGUUAGCCAAAAAACUCUAGAAAGCCUACUGAUGUUCUCAGCUAUACCCUCAGCAGAUGGAAAUAAAAAGAGAUUGAGGGAAAGCUGAUUGUCACUGCCUUGUCUAUGCUAUCAUCUAUAAAAAAGUGAAACACAUUGGUCAUGCAUAAACCCUAGCAAUUAGUCUGGCAGAACCA